UAGUUUAUUGUUCAGUGGAUAAACAGCAGCAAGAGUAAGAAAUGUGUUCAGACUGAACAUCAUUAAAGCAGGGAUCUGUUCUGUCUUGAGUUCUUGUACAAGAUCAGACAUUAAAACAAAGACAAUCCAGUCAUCUCCAGGAGAUCAUCAGAGUUACAGAGGAGACACCUCACAUCUACAACUACAACUACAAUAAAAAAACUCACAAAUAAAACAUCAUGACACUUAUGAGAAUGUGGAGGUAAAAUUAAAAUAUCAAAAUGUAAAAUAUUUUAUUAAUAGAAAUGAAAACCUGCUUCAAUUUAGAUCUGGACAUGUUUCUUUGAGAUUCAUAUUUGUAUUAAUAAAAUCCAUAUUAUCCUACAGCUGACAGAGUUAGAUAACAAGAACAAUGUGGUUUUACUUUUACAUUUUAUCAUUUUAAUAAAAGUUGAACAUGUUCAGGAUGAUGAUUCAUCAGACAAUGUGUUAUUAUAGGACAUAAACACAAACAUCUGCUCAUUUAGUUGUUAAAGAACAAGAUGUCAAAUAUUUAUUUUGAGAUAAAGGAAAAAUUACGAUGUGAAAACAACUUUUAAUAAGUCGUGAUGACGAAAAACGACAAGAAGAAAAAAUCAUAACCCAUGGCCUUUUAGGACUUCUAUACGCAUGCGUCAACAGAAUAUAGCUACACUUAUAAUUAUACACACAAUAAAUCAUUAUCAUACACACUUACAAUAUAAUCCGAUGAUGUAUCCGAAUCAGAAAAGUGUCAAAUGAAGAGUAACUCCAGUAAAUAGAUGAAUCCACUCUCAGAAGAUCUACAGCAGCUCUCGUUUGAUCGAGAUAGGUAUAAACGGAGGUCGGAGCCAGCUCCAAAUGGGCGGGUCACCUCCAAAUGGGUGGGACUUCAGCUCCAAGUGGGCUGUACAAGCCUCCGGAGCCUUUUGAUUGGUUUAUUUAAUGUCAUGGGGUUAAUGCACGCUGCGAACCCCCCCCCCCCCCCACAAAAAAAAAAAAAAAAAAAAAAAGACGACGUCAACUUCCCGAGGCUUUUCAGCGUCAAGAAAGAGGAGUUUGAAGGGAAAGUUCAAGUCUGGGUGGCCAAAAGUUAAAUUUCAGUGAUCUAGUUACCGCCUCUCUCUGCAAACCCAAAGGAUCACGUUCCUCAGCGGAUCUACCCCAAUCAUCAUUAAUGGGACCCCAUCGGAGAGAGUGAGCAGCUUCAAUACCUUCAAAUGCCCUGCAAAGAGUAGCUGAGCACAUGUCCAGAACAUCUCUCCCCUCUCUGCAAGACAUCCACACCAGAAGAUGUAAAUCUAGGGCUGUUAAGAUCCCACACACCCUGGAAAUCUGCUACAGUCAGGCAGACGCUUCUGCAGUCUGAUGGCAAAGAAGGAGAGGCUCAGGAGAAGUUUCUUCCCUCAUGUUAUCAGACUACUAAACAUGGACAUUAACACACUGCACUUUAAAGACUGUUUGUUUAGGGCUACAUAAUAACUCUCUGCACACUGCGCUUUUUUGACAACCUAACUAGGCAACUCCUCCUCACUGCACAUUGUCUACAUCUCUGCACAUCAUCUGUGUAGCAAUUUCUGUGUAGCAUCUCUACAAAUCAUCUGUAUAGUAGUUUAAUACAGUAUAUUGUGUAUAUUUCAUUAUUUGUAUUUAAUUAUCUCCAAAAAAAA